rnacentral:tRNA from 1 species
GGGUGAUUGGCAUAGCGGUUGUGCAACUGGCUUUUAACCAGCACCACAGAGGUUCAAUUUCUCUAUCACCCA